UCCCAGGUGGCUAGUGGUAAAGAAUCUGUCUGCAAUGCAGGAGGCCCAGGUUCAAUCCCUGGGUCGGGAA
rnacentral:tRNA from 1 species